CUCCUAGAUCUUAGAAGUUUAGGAUGAGAACAUAAAUGGAAUCAAGACAGCAAUUUGAUAGAACUGAAAGGCUUUAGUAUCAGGUAAACUAGGACCGAUUCCUGGUUUUACAUCCUCCUGACUGCAUAACCUUUGAGACUGAGUCCCAGCUUUCUUGCUUGUAAAAUGACAAUAGUAUCAUCUACUGUUAUGAACUGAAUGUUUGUGUCUCCCCAAAAUUUAUGCAUUAAAAUCCUAACCCUCAAUAUGAUAAUAUUAGGAGGCAGGGCCUUUGGGAGGUAAUGAGGCCAUGAGGAUAGAGCUUUCAUGAAUAGGAUUAAUGCUCUUCUAAGAAGAGGCACACACGAGACAACUUGCUUCCUUUCUCUCUCUGCUCUUCACCAUGUGAGGAUACAAUGAGAAGAAGGCCAUCUGUAAACGAGCAAGAGGACCUUCACCAAGAUCCCAACCGUGCUGCCACCCUGACCUCAGACUUCCAACCUCCAGAGAGAUUGCCAUGAAGAUGAUGUUUGGGUCAAGUUGCCUGGAUUUAGUCAUUGGGAGUCCUUGGUUAUUAGUAGGAUCCUCAGAGCAGUAGAGGGACAGAAGCCAGAUUGCACAGACUUCAACAGGUGGCAGUGGUAGCUAUUGAUAGAACACACGGAGAACACCACGUUGACCGGGUCUUGGCAGUGUUUCAGAAAGAGGUCGUCAGAGAUAUAAUAGAAAAGCAUUAAAAAUGGGAAAUUUUAGGG